CGUCUUCGGUGGAUUAACUAUCUCCGUCCUGAUCUCAAGAGGGGUAACUUCACCCUCGAAGAAGAUGAUCUCAUCAUCAAACUCCAUAGCCUCCUUGGAAACAAGUGAGAAUCUUCACAAAACCCUUCAACAAACAAGAUCCUCUGUUUUAAAAAUACUCUGUUUCUUACGCUCUGUUUUAAGAAUACUCUGUCUCGUAUGCUCUGUUUUAGACUUUAGUCAUACUCUGUUUCUUAUGCUCAGUUUUAGUGAUACUCUGUUUCUUAUGCUCUGUUUUAGUCAUACACUGUUUCUUAUGCUCUGUUUUUCCACCUCAGAUGGUCUCUUAUCGCGACGAGAUUACCGGGAAGAACAGAUAACGAGAUCAAGAACUACUGGAAUACACACGUAAAGAGGAAGCUUUUGAGAGGAGGGAUUGAUCCCAUGACUCAUAGGCCGAUCAACGAAGCCAAAGCUCCUCGUGAUUCGUCUGAGAGUAGAGAGACAGAGGACUCGCUUGUGAAGUUUCUAUCUUUCAGUCGUCAACUGGAGAAAAAGAAAAGUUUUGGGGAUGAGAAAAAUGAUCAGAAAGGACUGAUAUGCAAAAAAGAGAGAGUUGAGUAUUCUCUUGUUGAAGAAAAGUGCUUAGAUUUGAAUCUUGAGCUUAGAAUCAGCCCACCAUGGCAAGACCAACAGCACCAUGAUGAGACCAAAC
rnacentral:lncRNA from 1 species